GAUGAACGCUGGCAGCGUGCCUAAUACAUGCAAGUCGAGCGAACAGACGAGGAGCUUGCUCCUCUGACGUUAGCGGCGGACGGGUGAGUAACACGUGGAUAACCUACCUAUAAGACUGGGAUAACAUCGGGAAACCGGAGCUAAUACCGGAUAAUAUAUUGAACCGCAUGGUUCAAUAGUGAAAGACGGUUUUGCUGUCACUUAUAGAUGGAUCCGCGCCGCAUUAGCUAGUUGGUAAGGUAACGGCUUACCAAGGCGACGAUGCGUAGCCGACCUGAGAGGGUGAUCGGCCACACUGGAACUGAGACACGGUCCAGACUCCUACGGGAGGCAGCAGUAGGGAAUCUUUCGCAAUGGGCGAAAGCCUGACGGAGCAACGCCGCGUGAGUGAUGAAGGUCUUCGGAUCGUAAAACUCUGUUAUUAGGGAAGAACAAAUGUGUAAGUAACUAUGCACGUCUUGACGGUACCUAAUCAGAAAGCCACGGCUAACUACGUG
rnacentral:rRNA from 1 species